ACAAACGGGCACCCGGAAGACAAGUAAGCAAGUCCUACAGACUCAGCACGAAGGUUUCUGUAAGUGCAAAAGAGACAUAGAGAGACACGAAGGAGCGACACAGCCUCAUGUCCACCAGGACGGCUACUAGCAAAACACCUCCCCGACCAGAACACGGCGAGCGCUGCUGAGCGUGUGGAGUCACCGUGAGCUCUGGGCGGGAAUGCAAAGUGGCAGCGCUCCUGCAGAACACAGUCUGGCAGCUCCUCAGACAAUUAGCAGAGAAUGAGCACAUGACCGAGCAAUUCCACUCUGGAUACAACCCCCGAAGGCAGAUCUCACAGAGGCUCUUGCACACUCGCGUUCACAGCAGCAUGAUUCACAAGCACUAAAAAGCACCCCGCGUGGGCACGGACGGGUGGGUGGACGAGAAAAAUGUGGCCCAUCCACACAGCAGAACGUCACACAGCCUCACAACACCUGCUACAAUGGGGACAGACCCCGAGGAUGGUACACACAGCGAGAGAAGCCCGCCACAAAAGGGCACGUGCUGUGUGAUUCCACUCUCACGAGAUACUGAGAGUGGCCACAACCGCAGAUACAGAAAGUGGAUGGUGGGCACCCGGGCUGAGGAGGGACGGCGAGUCGGAAAAGAAAGAAGACCCAGGACCGAGGGAGAGGCCCUAGCAGGGGCUGCAGGGCUGCAGGACAGGCCGGUGAUCGCCGCCCACAGAACCUGAACGUGUGAGCGGAACCGUGAGGCAGUGAAGACAGGCGUCCUCACACCACAGCGUUGGUAGAAGACCAACCACAGCUCUGUGGAGGGGGGCCUCAUGCACUCGCGGACAGCCUGCCCUGAGGCCAGGACAGGAUGGGUUGGGGAGCAAGAUGGGGACCUGGCCGCGGACACGGGGUGCGGGCAAGGAGCAGCUUGCAGAGCCUCGGAGAGGCUGGCCUGCGCCACCCCGAGGCCUGAGUCUAAGGCAGGUGCAGGGCACAGCGUCCUCCGGCUGCAGGGCUUCCUGGGGGGCAGUGGUCCCCACACCAGGACGGCUCACCUUUGCUGAAGAAGGUGCUGACCAUGAAGCUGAAGGACACGGAGGCGGUGGCAAAGCACAGCAGGAAGACCAGCACCAGCGAGGGGUCGCUGUGAGUGAGCACCGCCACGUCCUUCUUCACCUGCGCCGCGUGGCGUCCCGUGGGUCACGUGGGCAGGCCGUGGGGAGGUAGGGACAGAGACAGUUAGACUUGAGACGUCGGGGCCUCAGAUGGGGCUGUGGGAAGGGCCGACUCGCCCUGAAAGCCCCGAGCACUCCAAAAGCUCCACAAGCCCACGCUCACCUUGACGCAGAAGAGCAGGGUCACGAAGGAGACGGCCACGAGGAGGAAGAGGAAGAAGAGGAGGAACCAGGCGGUCCAGUGCAGCCAGCUGCUGAGCCCCAUCAUGCGCAUGUACUCCUGCGGAGAGGGCCACACGUGCUGGCACGGGCUGCAGCCGCCUGGGGCGUGCGUGGGUGCAGGGUGCGGGGUGCGUGGGUGCACCCGGAGCCGCACACGGGCCAACACAGGACAGUGGGACGCCGGGGACACACACAGCCUGCGCCAGGCAAGGGCAUGGUCCAUCUAUGUCAUCCUCCCCUGCCCUCCUCCUCCUCCCAGUCUGAUGUGCUCUGCCCCUGGGGCACCCGCCCUGCUGCGGGGUGGAGAUCGGCCCACCUUGCCCCUCACCCAGUGUGCUCCCCGCUGACAAAGGCAAGACUUCAAAGUUUGGGUAUUUGGCAGCAUCACUGGACGAGUUUACAGGGACACGGCCUUGCUGGUGUACUUCAGCAAGCUUUCUGUACUCCCUAACCCCGUCCCGCUGCGCCCAGCAGCCCACCUACGGGUGCCCUGACCAUACAGAGCCAACGGGCCUUCUGUACAGCCCGGGACGGAAACAUCCAGCCUCUCCAGGGACUCUGUUCAGUACACGGGACGUGAGUAGCUAUAUAACGUAGUGUUAGGGCGGCCAUGGCAAGAAAAUUAAUGGGAAUCAUGAAGAUUAGUUUCAUUGCUGUGUCCUGCUUGACUUGGCACAUGCCAACAGGGGUCCUGUCAACGUGUCAAGCCUUACCACACUGCACACAAAACUUGGUGCUUUAUUGGGGUUUUAGGGACCCGGAUGUGCCAGGCUUGAUUUCACAGAAGCCCCAGGAUCACCGGCGCCACGGUGGGCAUUUACCCCAUGCCUGGCUGCCCCCAGCAGCACCCGGCUUGCACCCAACCCGCCCACACGGGCCUAAGACACACAGACCACGGCCACCUUCAGUUUCGUCUCCUUCUCCUGCACGACAGCCCGGAUGAUGGUGAGUGCGGUAUAGGUGAAGCUCAGCAUGAGCAGCAGGGGGAGCUGGUACUGGAUGGCGACCAGGAAGGGGUCCGAAAUAAAAGGCGGGUACGGGAACCUCUUUGCGAUCACGGUGAGCUUCUCAAACAGCUGGCGCGUGGAGGCAUUCGCAUGGUACUGCAUGAUGGCCCUGUCCACCGCGUGCUGCAUGGCCAGGAAGCCUUCACGGAUGUACCCUGAGCGUGGACAGUGGGAAAAGCCAUGUCACAGGCACAGCUCGGCUCACAGAGCGGUGCUCUGAGCUGUGCCAGGUCUCCCUGGAGAAGGCGGCCACGGGGCGGCACCACCUAACACACCCACGGUGGCUGGGCCUUCUGGCGUUGGCGUGUAGGGCCCCUUCCCCACCCGCACCCCCCAAGGCCGGCUAGGCGGCACCUCUCUGGCCCUGUCUUCCACCUCCCUCGUCCACUUUGAAGGACUGUGGUGAGUACAUCGGGCCCCCAGGACCAUCAACAGCAAUCCUGCGAUCUUGAGGCCCGCGGAGUAGCAGCCUUCCAUCCACUGGGCUAGCAGGCAUCACAGCCCGAAGGCCACUGCUCAGACCCUCAUCCUGCCCAUUCUGACCCUCUACUACAUGAGGGGGUCAAUUCUGCUGACAAUUGUAUUGUCAAUACAAUUCUACUGGGGAGGAGGGCCUGGGAAGAGUGAUAGAGGGGGGACGAGGAAUCCCAGCGCAGAGGCCGGCCCGCCACGGGGAGCCUAAGGAAGAAGGGGGCACAGCCCCAGAACAGCAGAGGAGUGAGCACACGGGUGCAGGCACCCUCGCUCAUAAAACACGGCGACGUUGGGGAUCCCUGGGUGGCUCAGUGGUUUAACGCCUGCCUUUGGCCCGGGGCACGAUCCUGGAGUCCCGGGAUCGAGUCCCACGUCAGGCUCCCGGCACGGAGCCUGCUUCUCCCUCCUCCUGUGUCUCUGCCUCUCUAUUUCUAUCAUAAAUAAAUAAAUAAAUAAAUCUUUAAAAACAAAAAACAAAAAACAUGGCGACGUUUAAAAUACCCAAGGCCCUCUACCACGGAACUGCAGCAGCCUGCCUGCCAGUCCUAGGAGAAGAGCAAGGCUACAACCACAACCCCAGUCGCCCUCAGGCUCCAGACGUUCAUGGCUGCAACGCAGCAGGUGCUCAGGAGGACGGUCUCUCCUGCUGCUGGCUCCAGGCACCAGCCACAGCCUCUGGACACUGGCCAUAGCCUCCCUUCCUCCUGUCCGCCUGCCCGCCUGCCUGCGGCCUCAUUUCGGGACAUUCCUGGGUCUCUCUGCCAAAACCUGAACACGCUCGGCGACCUACAGACUGCAGAAUCCUGUGUUCUCCAAGACGCCUGCUGCCGCCGAGAACCCACGGAGGGGUCCCAGCUACUCCGUGCUCAUCCCCAGCCUCGUUCCAGGACGGCAACCCUGCCUCGGAGGAGGCGAAUGUGCCAGCCACCUGCCCAGGCCACAGGGACAGACGAACACACGCGCUGACACAGCCAGCCCAGAGCCAGCUUCUGCAGGCGCCUCAUGGGCACAGCUCUGCCCCAGACAAGGAGCACAGAGCUCACGAAGCCUGUGACCGUACAGAGCGAAGGCCCGGGAGGGAACGGAGGGGGCGGCCAGGCCCACACACUCGACACCUACGGAAGCCUCUUUAAGACUGAAAUACACAGGGAACCCUGGGUGGCGCAGCGGUUUAGCGCCUGCCUUUGGCCCAGGGCGCGAUCCUGGAGACCCGGGAUCGAAUCCCACGUCGGGCUCCCGGUGCAUGGAGCCUGCUUCUCCCUCUGCCUAUG